GUCCACGCCCUAAACGAUGUCAACUAGUUGUUGGGGAUUUAUUUCCUUGGUAACGUAGCUAACGCGUGAAGUUGACCGCCUGGGGAGUACGGCCGCAAGGUUAAAACUCAAAGGAAUUGACGGGGACCCGCACAAGCGGUGGAUGAUGUGGAUUAAUUCGAUGCAACGCGAAAAACCUUACCUACCCUUGACAUGGCAGGAAUUCCGAAGAGAUUUGGAAGUGCUCGAAAGAGAACCUGCGCACAGGUGCUGCAUGGCUGUCGU
rnacentral:rRNA from 1 species